AGGUUUUUGUUUUGGAAACAUGUGAUUUUGAAAGUCACCUUAAAAGGUUCAAUUCCUUUAAAAUCUU
rnacentral:tRNA from 1 species